AGGAAGAGGAGGGGGCAGGAGAGGCAGCCCGGCCGCCGGGUGCCUCCUGCAGCCCGGGGCUGCACCUCUCCCGUCCGGAGCCGCUGGUGAACUUUGCGGCAUACUGAAAAAGAAGAACAACCCAGAAAUCUAGCUUGCAGUCUUGACCACUGACCUUCAUGGGGAGACAAAAGAAAAGAAAGCACUGAAAGAGGGGCAUCCGGAAGAAAGAGGAGCAUCCAGUAUGUGAAGAAUGUAAUCUAAUCCUUGAAAGAAGAGUCUGCCUUCAGUGACUCUGCGGAGAAAGAGGACAAAUUUUAUUAGUCCUUUCCCCGGGCUGAGCUGUGGUUUCUACAGUCUGUCAUCCAUCACAGGAUUUGCAUGUCCACUUCUGGAAGAUUUUCUUCCAGCAACUGCAUCUGUGCUGCAUGGUGAGUUCUACAGGCAUUUGUACAGAUUUUCUUCACUUGCAUCUGGCUCUGCUGUCCACUGUCUGAGCUGGUUUUUAUUUCAUGUCUUUCUAAGUUUUAAGCUGAAUACAUUGACAAAUGCACUUUUUAGUCAAAUAUAUUGUAUAAUUUUUUUUAUAACACUUUUCUGGUUUUGGUAUUUUAGCUUCGGUUUGAUAGUUUUUUCUGUUUGGUUUGGGUUUUUUUUGUUUUUCUUUUUUUCUCCCCAUUCCUUAAUAUCUGCAACAUAUGUCACUGUAUCACUUCUAAAAGGUACCAGAAUGUUGAAUACUGAUACCUUCUACCGGCCUGCCUAGAUUAACAUAACAUUUACAGCAUGGACUUCCUCCCACUGUGUCUUUUCUUCAACCUACAGAAGCCACUUGAAAAGAGAAAAGUUUCUACUGCAUGGAUGCAGAACUGUCGAGGCUACCAAAGCUCUCUUUACUGGCGAAUAGGGGCUGUCGUCUCCAAAGGAGUAAAAGAUAUUGAGAGAUAUUGCUGCAGUAAUAAUAAAAAAGAAAGUCGUCUGCUACAGGGGGAAGAAAACUAUUGCCAUGGAAGUCUCCUUUAAAAUCCUAUGAAGCAAAAUUAACUUUAGCAAAAGACUGCUGCUUGCUCAUGUGCAAAGAAAAUAAGCUAAUGCUGGAGCAAAUUUAGAAGCAUAUAUGUAAAUCAAGAAGUACCUCCAGUAGGACUUAAGGGAAUAAAAAAUCCACUAUAAGAUUGGAAAGAGGACAGUGAUGGACGCAAAAUCAUAUGAGAUAAAUCUGAGAAUUAAUCUCACUCCAUAUGCAGACCAGCCAUGAAGAGCAAAGAGAAUAAUUACUUCAAAACUCAAAGAAAAAUCAUCAAAGGUCACUGUUACAAAUGCAUUUUCCUGGGCCCUCCUUCAUCACGACCAGAAAAACAAGUAAAUAUCUAGUAGUUUUCUAAAUAUUUUUUUUUCCUUUUUCUCCCCACCCUCCACAAUGGACAGAAACUUUUCCAAUAUGAGCAAUAACAGGUCACAUAUUGGUAAAGGAGGUGUUCUCCCAUUGGGGUUUACUUGCAAGACUGUAAUUGGCUCAGAAAACCGCUUUACAGGAUUCUUUUCUUUCAGUUAAGAAGUUGUCAGUGUUUGGAAUAAAACAAAAAUGUCAGUCUUCAGAAGAGAUAGAAUGAACAGAACCAUCUAACUAUGAGGGGAAAAUUCUGUCUGUUAAAUGGAAAAGACCAGAAGAGUUGCAAUCUAUUGUUCCUUGUACCAAUGAAGGCUCCACAACAGCACAAAAAAUUACAUACCUUUCAAAGUAAUAAUGGUAGGAAAAUGAAAAUGGCAGGGCAUUUGUUGUGGGGAAACUACUACUUCAUGUGCUUGAAGGUUUUGCAAUGACUUCAUAAAAAGAUUGCAGGAAUAUCUAUAACAAGUAUAUUGGUUUGCAACAAAGGCAUUAAAAAAAAAGUCUAAAUCAAAAUAUGCUUUUUAUAUACACACACACAUAUAUAAAAUAACCUCUUUUAACUAUAAGCGUAAAAAGCAAACGACCUCCUUUUUCCCUGUUCUCAAGUUUAUCUGCAUGUAAAGUUUGUUGGUUUUUUUUUUAACAAAAAAGAAAAUAAAAUGUAAAUAAACCAUAUUGUGUAAUCCAAUGUAAAAAGCCUAAAGGUAAAACUUAUGCAAUACAGCACAAGAUCCGUCUUUUAUUUCUUGUACCUAUGUGAUUUAUUUGUCAGUAAGUAGGGACAAAUAUUGUAUAUGAUCUUAUAACAGAGUCAAGACUGUAAGAAAUAUUUUCUUUUUGGUCAAAAGUAAUUAUAAACAAUGUUGCUACCUGAAAUGAAAGUUUUAUUCUAUUUCAUGUGUAUAAAUCUGCAAUGAAACAAUUCUUCAGACUUAUCAGUCUAAAUAAAAUAUCUAUUUAAUGCAUAAACAACCAUUAUUAGUUGUUUGUAAGAAAAUUUCUAUCUCUCUGUGCCAGAAU